rnacentral:rRNA from 1 species
AUCGAACGCUGGCGGCAGGCCUAACACAUGCAAGUCGAACGAGUGGCGGACGGGUGUGCAAUUUCUGGGAACCUGCGCGAUGUAGCGGUAUAACGACUGGAACCGUUAGCUAAUACUGCAUACCACCCGUUCGGCUCAGACGGGAUUAGCUAGUAGGUGGGGUAUCGGCUCACCUAGGCGACGAUCCCUAGCUGGUCUGAGAGGGUGACAGGCCACACUGGGACUGCGACACGGCCCAGAAUCCUACGGGAGGCAGCAGUGGGGAAUCUUGGGCAAGGGACGCAAGCCUGAUGCAGCCAUGCCGCGUGUAUGAAGAAGGCCUUCGGGUUGUAAAGUACUUUCGGCAUGGAAGCGUUACUCAACGAAAAAGCACCGGCUAACUCCGUGCCAGCAGCCGCGGUAAUAC